ACGAAUCUUAAAGUCGGCCUUGCUGUUGCUGGUGGAGAGAUCCACAUGUGCACGCUUGGUCGCAAAUCCACACACCUGUGCAUCUAUGACUCGAGGUUGUCGUCGUAUGACCGAGAGUAACUUUUACACACUCUUGAAUGUAACAGAAUGUCUCUUGUGCGUAAUGUACAAUUAAA
rnacentral:misc_RNA from 1 species